UUCAAGGCGUUCUUUAACGCCCUCCACUAUAGAAUAAAAUUAGUGU
rfam:Moniliophthora roreri MCA 2997 sctg_0002_0003, whole genome shotgun sequence.